GCCCUUAUAGCUCAGUGGUAGAGCGCAGCACUCGUAUUACUAUAUAUAGAAGUCAUACUAUAUAUUAACUGCAUAUGAGUUUAUGCUGAGGUCCAUCGUUCAAUCCGGUGUGGGGGCA